AAUCGAACUCGGAGAUAGCUGGUUCUCCCCGAAAUAGCUUUAGGGCUAGCGUUAUGUUAGAUUACCGGAGGUAAAGCACUGAAUGGUGGCGGGGCCGAUAAGGUUACCAAGACCUAUCAAACUCUGAAUGCCGGAUAAUUGAUGCAUAGCAGUCAGACAGCGUGAGAUAAGUUUCGUUGUCAAAAGGGAAACAGCCCAGACCCACAGCUAAGGUCCCAAAUUCAUGCUAAGUGGAAAACGAUGUGGAAUUGCGAAAACAACCAGGAUGUUGGCUUAGAAGCAGCCACUCAUUAAAAGAGUGCGUAAUAGCUCACUGGUCGAGUGACUCUGCGCCGAAAAUUUAACGGGGCUAAACUAUACACCGAAGCUUGGGAUACAUCUAAUGUAUGGUAGGAGAGCGUUCUGUAUGGGGAGAAGUCGUAGCGAAAGCGGCGGUGGACUAUACAGAAGUGAGAAUGCCGGAAUAAGUAGCGAGAAUUAAGUGAGAAUCUUAAUGGCCGAAAGUCUAAGGUUUUUGGAGGAAGGUUCGUCCGCUCCAAGUAAGUCGGGAGCUAAGGUCAGGCCGAAAGGCGUAGCCGAUGCACAUACGGUUGAUAUUCCGUAACCAUCUGUAAUUUAAGCAAAGGGACACUUCAAAAGGGUGUGACCCGGGCGUUGGUUGACCCGGGCGUAAGGGACCGAAAUUAGAGUAGGGAAGCACACUUAGCUGAAGGCGAGAAAAGCUUUGCGUAUAGAAACAGAUGCCCGUACCGCAAACCGACACAGGUGGACAGGAAGAGAAUUCUAAGGCCAGCGGGAGAAGGGUAGUUAAGGAACUCGGCAAAUUGACUCCGUAACUUCGGAAUAAGGAGUGCUCGAAAGAGCCGCAGAGAAUAGGCCCAGGCGACUGUUUAGCAAAAACACAGGUCUCUGCCAAAUCGAAAGAUGAAGUAUAGGGGCUGACACCUGCCCGGUGCCGGAAGGUUAAGAGGAGGAGUGAGAGCUCCGAAUUGAAGCCCCGGUAAACGGCGGCCGUAACUAUAACGGUCCUAAGGUAGCGAAAUUCCUUGUCGGGUAAGUUCCGACCCGCACGAAUGGCGUAACGACUUGUGAGCUGUCUCAACAGGAGGCCCGGUGAAAUUGAAGUAUGUGUGAAGAUGCACAUUACCCGCGACUGGACGGAAAGACCCCGUAGAGCUUUACUGCAGCCUGAUAUUGGAUUUCGGUAACGGAUGUACAGGAUAGGUGGGAGGCUGGGAAACCGUGACGUCAGUCAUGGCGGAGCCGCCGGUGGGAUACCACUCUUUUGUUACUGAAACUCUAACAUGGACCCGUGAAACCGGGUAAUGGACAGUGUCAGGUGGACAGUUUGACUGGGGCGGUCGCCUCCGAAAGAGUAACGGAGGCGCCCAAAGGUACCCUCAGAAUGGAUGGAAACCAUUCGAAGAGAGCAAAGUCAGAAGGGUGCUUGACUGCGAGACCAACAAGUCGAGCAGGUACGAAAGUAGGGCUUAGUGAUCCGGCGGUAAGAGAGUGGAAUUGCCGUCGCUCAACGGAUAAAAGCUACCUCGGGGAUAACAGGCUGAUCUCCCCCAAGAGUCCACAUCGACGGGGAGGUUUGGCACCUCGAUGUCGGCUCAUCGCAUCCUGGGGCUG
rnacentral:rRNA from 1 species